UUUAAAUUAUUUUCACUCUUCUCUUUAUUGCCACCUCCUCCUCCUGGAGAUCACAGCUAAUGUCACCUUUACCAUCUCCUCCACUGGGUAGAGCCUGGACAUCUGGCACCUGGGCACUGGUCCUGCCUGGGCACUGCCACUUCCAUUCUCAUGACAGGAGCAAAGUGCCUGCCCUGUGGAGUGCCUUGACACUUUACCCCAAUAGCACGCUUAACACAAAGGAUCUCAGAGUGUCUUGGGGAAGAUGUGAUCUGUGCCAAGCUCAGUCCUUUUCCUGGACCCUCUGCAGAGAAGCCAGGGCAUUCUCCAGCCUGUGCUAGAAAUGCGACAAGCUCAGGAAUUAAGGUGCAGGAGUUCCCGCCAUGGCUCAGUGGUUAACAAACUCAAUUAGUAUCCAUGAGGACAUGGGUUCAAUCCCUGGCCUUGCUCAGCGGGUUGGGGAUCGGGCACUGCUGUGAACUGUGCUGUAGGUUGCAGGUGCGGCUUGGAUCCAGCAUUGAAAUGACUGUGGUGUAGGCCGGCAGCUACAGGUCCGAUUAGACCCCUAGCCUGGGAGCCCUCCAUACGCUCUAGGUGUGGCCCUAAAAAGACAAAAAGACAAAAAAAUAAAAGAAAUUAAGGUGCACAUUUCAUAGGCAGACACUUCAUCAAGCACGGUCCUGUUCCCUUUGCUAAUCGUUUCAUGCCUGUGCUUCCUGCCUUCCCAGCCAUCCUGAGACCAUCUUGAGGGUAUGGACUGCAGCUUCUAGUUCUCUGUUAAGCCCAGGGUUCUGAGCAUCACAGUGAGGGCUGGAUUCAUAUCAGCUGGUUGUCUCAGCAUCAUCUCCACCAACCUGAGGCACAGGUGCUUCUCCAGGGCAUUUUCCAAGGGGGAAAGUCCAGGAUAAAGUCCCUGACCCCAAGUCUUUAUCUUACACCUGAAAAUACCCUUUCCCCCAACAAGGACACACUCACAGGCCUCCAGCAUUAGGGCCUGACAUCUUUGGGGGAUGCUUCGCCUACUGCACCACCGCCCACCACCUCUUCUGACCUCGAACGAGUGUCCAAGGGUCCCAGAUCAGCCUCUCUGAGUCGUGCUUAUCCCUCUGAGGUACAGGAAUGACUUUUAUGGAUCCGUUGGCUUCUUCACAGAGUGGUGGUGAGGACUGAGAGGUAAUAUAUAUAUUGAAAGCAUUUUCUAAGCUGUAAAGCCCCACACAAAUGCAAGACAACAUUAUUGCACUGGGAGCGUGGCAAGUUCAACACUUGAGAAAACUAUCAGAUUUUAAAACAUGUGAGGGAAUAGGAAACCAAUGUUAUUCCAAAACCUCAUUUACACCCCACACCAAAGCCUCCCACUCUCCCUGCCUCCGCUCUCCCCUGUGGCUAUAGGGGUGUGACAGAGGCCUGUCUUGGGGGUGGCUUUGUGGCCUGAAAACAAAUCAUUCUUCACAGCUGGCUCCCCGAGUCCAAUAAGCCAGAAGGAAUUGGUAGAGAGAUUUAACGAUAUGUAUUUCAAGAAAAAGAUGAAAAUGUGUCUACUUUUAGGAGAUGCAGUAAAAAUGCAUCAGCCCCACAAUAAACUUGGCAGUGAAGAUGCAUAGAAGGCACACAUAUAAUGCAGUCAGGGCAGUAAUGUCUCAUUUCUAGGGAAAUCCUCUAAGAGAUCAAUUAGAAUUUGCCCCCGCCCAUGCCCUAUACACAGCCUCUGAACACGGUCCCACCCCUCCAGCUACCUCCAGCCUCUGCAGGGGGCCUGUUGGCUCAAAGCAGCUUGUUCCCCGGUCUCCCUUGGAAGUCUCUAGAAGAGAUGUGGGCUGAAACGGUUUGCAAACCAAUUACACGAGAAGUGGGAAACUGUGGCCCCCAGAUCAAACCUGGCUCAUAAAUUACAGCUUUAUUGGAUCACAGCCAUGCUGAUUCCUUCUAUGAUGGCUUUGUUGCUCUAAUAGAAGAGUUUAAUAAUUCUGAUUGAAAUCACAUGGCCUGAAAGUCUAAUAUAUAUAUUAUUGGGCCUUUACAGAAAAAGUUUGUUGACAUCUGAAUAACGCCAUUACGUGAUAGGCUGUCUUUAGGCAAAACUGCCUGUAAAACCAAGAACAGGAUGACAGCUAAUUUUUUUGAGCCCUGUUCUGUGCCACGCAUGGCAUUGUGCCCAUAGGAACAGAAUGUCCCCUUAUUUAUUCUCGCAAGCAGUCCCAUGAGGUAGUAAUGCUAGCAGUAUGGCUAGAGGAGAAAACAGGCUCAGGGAAGCUAAGCAACUUUCUCAAGGUCUCAACCUGGAAAACCGGUAGAACUGGCGUUCACACUCAUGUGCGGCUGAUUCCACCACCCUUGCUCUGGCCGCCACUCUCAAGCAUCUGGUUUCCAGAUGGGCAAUUCGGAGACUCUCUUCCAGUCUCCAGCACCUUGCACUUGUUGAGGAUCUGAUUUUCUGUAUCUAAUGUACCUGCAUCGAAUCUCCCAUCAUUCACCUGCCUGCCGUGGCCGCUCUGCUAAGGAGUGGAGAAAGGGAGCCUUCCAAGCCGUCUUCCUCCCCCUUUCCCACCCUGUGCUCCCCAUCCCUGUGCUCAGUGGAUUUUGUCCCACAUUUCUGCAGGACCCGUGUUGCCGCAGUCUCCCCCGACUGUCCCACUCCUGGGCGAGAUUCUGACUGUUCUGGAGCCUCCAGUCUGCACAGAGGGGGGCGCCAACAGAGCCCUGGGAACAGAGGCAUUUGCAUUCCACUUCCCGGGGCUGUUCUGAUCUUACCUGCAAUUCUUCUGACAAAUUCUUAUCAGCGAUGCCCAUGGCGAAGUCUGUGGUGACUUUGUUCAUUCUUAUUAGCUCUGCAGAUUAGCUCUUCACAGCGCUUGGCUGGUUCAUACCGAUUCCUGAUAAAUGUUUUGACUGAUUUUCCUGACUUGGGAGCAGUUGGGGACUGGGGCUGGGGUGGAGGCAGAAGACCGUGAGGAGAGGGGUGCUGGCGAGGGGAAGGAGAGAAAAUUGUGGCCAGGAUUACAUCUGGGCUAUAAAAUAUUCAUCACAUGCCUGCAAGAGCAGGGUCAGCACCGCUUCCCCAAGAACUGCUCCCUCCACCAGGCAGCACUUUGAAAUGCACCAGCCCGGGCAGGCUGGGAGCAGCCGGGAGAGGCUUCUGAGAGAAGGGGCCAGUGGAAGUUAAAAGGAAGGAAGAACAAACCAGCUCACUUGGGCUUUCCUGUCCUUCUCGGUCCCUCCCUUCUCACCUGCUCUUCAAGAACAGCUUUUGAUGGCAGAAUACUGAUGUUCCGGGUGGGCUUAGCUGCUCCUGUGCUGGGUUCCUCUUCUCCCUUUUGCUGCCCCAAGAAACCUUCCUGAGAAUUUCAGCCCACCCUUCCUCUCCUUUCCAAGAGGUCCUCCAGCUUCCCUCUUUGAGGACUUCAGACAGUGCUAAUAACAGCGUUCCUCACCGUCUCCUGUAUUUCCCCACCUAGACUGGACUUAGAGUCAUGCCCCUCCCAAGACUAGACACGAGGUACCCAUUUGUAACGUCAUGGCUGAAUUAAAUGAGCUCCUUCCCUUUGGCAGAGUUGGCCAGCAGGUACCACCACACCACCAGUGCUGAAGCAAGGCAGGCAUUGCCGAACGACUUCCACACACUUUCUUCUUAAACCAAGAUGAAGUUUUCCCCUUGUUCUUAACAAGAGGUUCCAAGCAGCCACUCCUAAUCCAAUGGAAUCAAGAAGGAAAUAAAAACCUCUUUGCUAUCCUGGUUCUUUGGUACCCCCUGUAACUUCCUUGCAAUCAGGCACUACCUUUAGAGUCUAGGAACCUGGUACUGUGGCCCCAUAUAAAAUAGGAGUUCCUGUCGUGGUGCAGUGGUUCACGAAUCUGACUAGGAGCCAUGAGGUUGCGGGUUCGGUCCCUGCCCUUGCUCAGUGGGUUAACGAUCCGGCGUUGCCAUGAGCUGCGGUGUAGGUUGCAGACGCGGCUCGGAUCCCGCGUUGCUGUGGCUCUGGCGUAGGCCAGUGGCUACAGCUCCGAUUCAACCCCUAGCCUGGGAACCUCCUUAUGCCCAGGGAAGCGGCCCAAAGAAAUAGCAAAAAGACAAAAUAAAUAAAUAAAUAAAUAAAUAAAUAAACCCUGCACCCACAAAAGAAAGCUAUCCAUCACUUUCCGCAGGUAUCCGGUCAAGGCUUACCCUCUAAAAAAUUCUUUCAUGUGUCUAACCCAAGACCCUGCUGCAGUAGAAUUAUAUUCCUGGGCUUUUCUCCCAUGGGAGAAAAAAGUCAGAUGCUUUGAGAAGUGAUGUUCUCACUCACUGCUCUUUCCCACUGCCCGGAAGUUUAAACUCUGGUGCCCAAGCACCUCACUCUGGAAAAACUCGACUCAUGCCAGCCCCAUGCCUGCUCGUGCCAGCUCCCUGGAAAAUGACCCACACCCCCGAAACUAGAAAGAGGCCUGGAGACUCUUGAAGGUCCUCUCUUGCCGCAGCCAAGUUUACUCAUUAGCCUUUCACCAGAUUUAUCUUCUCCCUGGUAGCCUGCAGCGCUUUGAUUUGUCCUGCUGUCACCAGGACUAAUGUUGAUGGCGGCACCCCCCCGGGGGCGUCAGGCUCUCCAGCCUCCUGCCACAGCCCUCGAGGAAAAUGGAUGAGCAACUGACCCGCAAAAUAAAUACCAGACUUCCAGGUUCUGAUAAAGAUUAAAUAUUGGAGGAGUCAUUUCAAAUGAAUAUAUAAAAGCACAUGGAAGAAGCCUUUUAGACUCCGGCAGAGUGACAUACAGGCAAACAAAGAGAGAUGUCUUUGGGGAAGUUCAGUGGCAGGGAAGUUGGAGGCUCCGAAUGCAAUCUGCCCACAAAUACCCUAGCUGCAGGAAGGAUUCCAAAACAGUCAUCCCUCCCUUUCCCUCCACCCUCCCCACCCAGAUCGUGAAGAAGAGAAAGUGCUAAGCUCCAAAAGCCGCGUGCCAGCAUGAUGCUGAAGUCAGCUCUGGCCCAUCCAACCAAGGGAGAAGCCCCAUUACUCAACACCAUCUGCCUUGGGCGUGGAGCAGCCAAGAGCUAGGAUUACGGGCGGGGAUGGGGCUCUGAAGCCCCAAAGGAGAGAGUUACUGGGGAAGAGCAAGGUCAGGCAUCUCUGAGACAGAACGGGGAGGCGGGAGAGAAGCCAGAUGUCAGCAGAUGGAGCCAGUGUUCCUUGAGCCUGGGGCAGAAUGUGGUUUCUGGUCCGAAACAUGUGCAGAUUGAUUGCACAUCCAGAAACGCCCAAUAACCAGAAUCCCAGGAUCCUGUCUCUAGAAUCAAAUGUUGGAAUUCUCUGGAUCAAAGUUCAAGUGCAGUUAGCAUGGAGAUGGAAGGGGAGAGAGGCAGCCUUGAUUUACCUGGUGCCUGCAGUGCUGGGCCACUUACUCCUCCUGACCGUCCUGGGAGAUGGGCACCGGCAUCCAUUCCUUACAGAAAGGAGGCUGAGGCUGCGGCGAACGGAUGGCCACGAGGCUGGCGUUCGUCCCGCUGCCACAUGCUCAGUUCUCCAUCUCAGUCUGGAAGGCAGAGUCUUGGUGGUGGUCCAGGGACAGCUGUCCAAAUUCCUGAGAACCGGGCUCAGUAUCCAGGUCCCUCC
rnacentral:lncRNA from 1 species